GUGAGUAACACGUGAGUAACCUGCCCUUAACUCUGGGAUAAGCCUGGGAAACUGGGUCUAAUACUGGAUAUUCACUGUUGACCGCAUGGUUGGUGGUGGAAAGAUUUAUUGGUUUUGGAUGGACUCGCGGCCUAUCAGCUUGUUGGUGAGGUAAUGGCUUACCAAGGCGACGACGGGUAGCCGGCCUGAGAGGGUGACCGGCCACACUGGGACUGAGACACGGCCCAGACUCCUACGGGAGGCAGCAGUGGGGAAUAUUGCACAAUGGGCGCAAGCCUGAUGCAGCGACGCCGCGUGAGGGAUGACGGCCUUCGGGUUGUAAACCUCUUUCAGUAGGGAAGAAGCGUAAGUGACGGUACCUGCAGAAGAAGCACCGGCUAACUACGUGCCAGCAGCCGCGGUAAUACGUAGGGUGCAAGCGUUAUCCGGAAUUAUUGGGCGUAAAGAGCUUGUAGGCGGUUUGUCGCGUCUGCCGUGAAAGUCCGAGGCUCAACCUCGGAUCUGCGGUGGGUACGGGCAGACUAGAGUGAUGUAGGGGAGACUGGAAUUCCUGGUGUAGCGGUGAAAUGCGCAGAUAUCAGGAGGAACACCGAUGGCGAAGGCAGGUCUCUGGGCAUUAACUGACGCUGAGAAGCGAAAGCAUGGGGAGCGAACAGGAUUAGAUACCCUGGUAGUCCAUGCCGUNAACGUUGGGCACUAGGUGUGGGGGACAUUCCACGUUUUCCGCGCCGUAGCUAACGCAUUAAGUGCCCCGCCUGGGGAGUACGGCCGCAAGGCUAAAACUC
rnacentral:rRNA from 1 species